UUCAGUGCUCAUGAGAGUAAGUGAGGCUUGCCCCAUUGCCUUAAUAUAAAACCAGCCAGCUUGCUGCUUAGAUGAGUUGGUGUUGCUCACACAGGGCCAGCACAAGACAUCCUUGUGUUACUACCCAUGGAAGUCAAGGUCUUUCUGAAUGGCCACACAACCAACUGGUGUUCAGUCACUCCUCCCAGAUUUUGUACGGUCCAAAAACUUGCUGAGGAUUCAUUUGGCUCCUGAACUUAAACUGUUUCACAAUCACCAGGACAAAUGAGCUCUUCUAGGGCAGCCAUUCGCAUCCUUGGGCCCACCUGCCUAGGACCUUGCUGAGAUACAGAGAUACAGGCAUGCAGGCUGAUGACAUUUGCUAUGCACACAGUUCUCAGGAAUGUCACUAAACUUUACUGGCUUCUCUUACCUGCUGAAUCCCAGUGUUUGAGACACUGGACUAGUUUUGCAGAGGUGCUCGAGUGAGUCCUGUUUUGUGGCCUCACUGGAAACAGUGUCACCCCACGUACCAUGAUAGCAGAGAUCUGCUGCUGCGUGCAUCAGUCGGGUCAAACAUUGCCAGUUACUUUGACACAAGAGCAGACAGAGUAACCAGAAAGUGACUCAUUUCAGAACUUUGCUAGUAACCCCUUCACCAGACACAGAAAAUCUCCAAGCACUUGUAUUGAGACAAAAUUGCUGAAAAUUUUUUGGGGGAGGAAAGAAAGGUUAAGUCAACAUGCAGUUUCUUUCAAAAAAGCUCUCCUCCUGUCAAAACAGGACUGAGAAGACUAAGAAACAGGAUGUUUCUGUACAGUUCUACUUUUAACAUGGCAGUGGGAAGCAUGAGACCCAUGCCUGAUUCACCAAGGCUGAAGAGAAAUGAGGCUAUAUGCUUACAAAAUGUUUCUCACUGGGGCAAAAACAUGUGAUGGAAGAAGAGAUGAAAUUCCCUUAGUUUCUAACCCUUUCAAAACUCUAGUAGAUUCCAUUUUUUGCCAUCUAGUAGAUGCCUUUUUUUGCAACACUGUCUCCUCUGGAUAAUUCCCACUCCCAUUAAUUCCCUUCUGACAAUCUGAAGUGGGUAGACUACCAAGAUAGCACAUUACCCACCAAGAAUCAUAUAGGGGAAAUGAUAUUUUCUUCCACCUGAAUGCAGAUAAAAAAUAUCAAAGAUCGUCACCCAGCUGUCUAAAUGGAGUCAACUAAAACCACGUCAAGGAAACAAUAUUUUGGCAUAUGAGUGCUGCAAGGAGUCAGUGCCAGCUGCUGGGAUAGCAGCACAUGAGGAGUGGGAACCACCUGAUGGAGUGAGGCUGGAGCUGUGGGCACCCCUGGGCGCCGGCGUUGGCUGCUGAAGAGCAAGCCAAGAUGUUGGAAUUUUUCCAGUUCUAGAAGUCAACCAAAUGGAUAAGUACUUGAGGUGAGCAGGUACUACCUCCAGUAAUUUUGACAUUGCUCCAGGGCUUCAUCUGGCCUUGCUGGAUCAACACAGACAGCAACAGGACUUCAUUCAGCUACACACAAGAGCAUUUGAGUGCUAAACUGUAACUCCAUGAAAGAGCUGCAGGAGAGCAUCAACACACCACACAGCAUCAGAAAGCACAAGAAAGACAUGAGCCUCAUCAUGUCUAAGAUACUGCAGCUUCAGAGUUCGAACCUUCAGCUGUAGCAGAGGGGCAGGAAGAGCCUGUGCCUACAAAAACUCUGAUCAUGAUGAAGACUGCAAGCUGGCGAUGACUUACAUUAAGAGGAAGGUCCUGCCCCACCUAAAGACUUGAAACUAGAGAAUACAUUUACUGUCCUCAUUCCCGAUGAGGAGAUGAAAGUGCUGCCAAAUGCAUUUUUUCUUGCAGCUGAAUCUGAGCUACCUGGGACCACUACAAGGAAAUGGUGAGUGGUAGCGGUAGGAAACCCCACCACAGGUGAUGAAGGCUCUCAACUUGGUUUUCCAUUAGGGAAGGCUUGCUGCUUAUUGGAGGCUUAAAUUCAGGAUGAUGUGUAGAGGCUGCUAAGGCUCAUCUAACCUGUGCUGCUGUUCUAUGGAGGCUCUGCCAGGGGAGACCUAGGAAGUGACUACAAGGCUCUGGGAACAGUGGGGGAGGGCAUGGGAAACCAGGUGGUGUUCUCCCCAAUCCUGCUGUUGAGGGACAAGGGCCUGAGAAGGACUGGGCUGAUCCUACAGAUCAGCAGUUGAUGUCUGAGAUGGUGUUGGCAGCAAAAUUUCAGUGUCUAUGAACUUGGGACCCCCUCUGAAGAUCAACUUGGAAGAGGCAGGAUCCACCUGACAAGGUGAGGUAAAGGGAUCUUUGCCAGGAGGCUUGCCAACCUUAAAGGGAAAUGUUUAAAUUAAAUUAUGGUGUCACAGAGUGAUUUGUGAAAUAACAAGUGAAACAGUUGUGGAUCAAGUAGGAAAGCCAAAAGCCAGGAUGACUGGAGGAGAAGGGAGAUAGCAAUCAACAAAAAAUGGGGGUGAAAUGCAAUCAUUCCAAGUGUAGGCAUGUAAAGAAAGAACAGCCAUAGGGAAAAAGCCCUCAUACCUGGUCUGGGAAAUCAGCAUGCAUAAUUGUCUCUCUGAAACAUCUCUACAUUGACACAUACAGCAUAGGGAACAAACAGGAGAAAUUAGAAUUCUGUGAACAGUUUUAGGACAAUGACGUCUCUGGGCUUAUGGAAAUACAGAGUGUACACUCACAUGCCUGGAGUGCUGUGAUCAGUGGGUACAGCCUUUUCAGCAAGGACAGGCCAGGAAGAUAAGGAGGGAUAGUUGCUCUCUAUGUGACAGCAGCUGAAAUUCAUGGAGCAGUGCCUGGUUUCAGACCUUAAUAAAAGAGGGGUCCAGGAAGAUGAGACAUACUUUUAAGAAGGAAAUUUUAAAGGCACAGGAGCAGGCCAUCCUCCUGUGCCAAAGAUCCUGGAGUAUGUCCAGAGAGGCAAAAUAGCUGAAGGGUAAGUCCUAUGAGAAGCAGCUGAGGGAGCUGGGGUUGUUUAGCCUGGAGAAAAGGAGGUUUAGGGGAGACCUUACAGUUAUCUACAACCACCUCAAAGAAAGCUGCAGCCAGCUGGGGGUCGGUGUCUUCUCCCAGGCAACCAGCUACAGUACAAGAGGUCAGAGCCUGAAGCUGCCCCAGGGGAAGUGCAGGCUGGAUAUCAGAAGGAAUUUCUUUACAGAAAUAGUUGUUAAACAUUGGAAUGGACUGCCCAGGGACAUGGCAGGGUCACCAUCCAUGGAAGUGUUCAGGAAACAACUUGAUGUGGCACUUAGUUAUAUGACUUAGUUGACAAGGUGAAGAUUGGUCAAAGGUUGGACUCAAUGAUCUUAGAGGUCUUUUCCAACAUAAAUGAUUUUGUGAAAUAUGUACCAUCUGCUGUCUUUAAAUUGAUAUUGGUGCCAGCCUAAUAGAACAAGAAAGAAAAAGACAAGCUUAAAUAUUGACUAUAACACAUUCAAGAACAAGUAGUUUCAAAUUCUAGCCACAGCCAGCAUUUCUCUUUCUUCCAUCAUAUAUGAGCACAAGUCAGAGAAACAGAACACAUAGAUAAUAUUAUCUCUCUGAAGACAUUUGUAGCCAUAGAAUAGUACGUAGCCUAAAACUCAUGAGGUAUAAUUUCAUUUUAACCAUUUCAAAGGCAGACUUUUUCCUCAAAUAAAAAUAUUUUUCCUCAAAUAAAAACAUUUUUCCUCAAAUAAAAAGUUCCAAUAUAAAGCAGAAACAAAAUCCUAACCUAUCUUUAAAAAAUUCCUUCAAAAUGUUGUGUCCAAUUUUAUGAUAAAUUCCAUAUCAGGAUAUCAGCUUCCCUGUAAUUAGGCAUUCAAGUUAUCCAGAAGUGUUGUUUGUGGCAAACUAAGCUUAGUCAGAAGAGAGAGGAAAAGACAUAAAAUAAUCAGGCAUUUGUUACAUCAUACCUAAAUGUCCACAGUUGCUGGCUGUGUUAAAAAAUUAGCUAUUAUACAUUCAAAGCAGUAACAGGAUCAUAAAAUUUUCAUACUUACUUUCAAAGAUAACAGAUCUUUUCACAAAGCUGGCUUAGAAAUAGUGUCUCCUGAAUGGCUGUAAAUGUGGAGAUUCUAAGCAGCCAAAUGCCUUUUUUAAAAAUCUUAACUUAAAAACUUUAAAAAAAAAAAGUUUUAAUUCCAGACAAUAGAUGUGUGUGAAGGAGAAACAAAGUAAAUUUCUCAGCAAGUGCAAGAGAGCUUGUAUAAGCAAUUUUGCUUGAUUCAGGCAAGAACAUCUUCCCUAAGCCAGCCUUGCCUACACACUUCCGUCUUGUGACCCAAAUGGCUCUCCAGUUAAAUGGUGGUCACUUAUGGGAAAUUAUGGGAAAUCACUUUAUGGGAAAUUUGAUGUCUUUGCAGCUGAGGUGAUCAGCUUAAGCUUGGGAAGCAUUAGUAGAGGCAACAAGGCACCAAGCAGAGAUGUGAGGACUCCAGAUGUGCAGGUAUCAUAAAAUCUCUGGCAGGGUUGUUAAUGAGUCAUAAGCAUGUAUUCACUGAGGGAAGAUAGUUGUGCCCAGUAUGUACAACCUGAGAUUUGAGACAGAAGUCGAAUUUGCUGAAUCAAGUAUUUACAGGAGUUCUUUCAUUCAAUUGUUGCUAAACUUAAAAAAAAAAUAAAAUUGCUUUAUAAUGGGAAAGCUGACAAUAUCUUAAUUAGAACAGGAGGGAUAGGUACCAGACCAAAAAAUUACAUUCCUGCUCCUUUUCAAAGUCAGGAGGAGAUUCAGCUUUACCUGCAUUUGUUGUAAUUGCUUGAGCAUUUCUUGAUUAUAACAACUGUAAAACAGCAUCCAUAUCACCCACAUCACCUAUGACAAAAGGCAGUGACUGUCUCUUGUCUCUGCAUUAGCUGGAGUCCUGUAAAGACCCUAGUUUAUUGCAGUUAUUUUCUGUAAGUGCAGGCUGUAUUUUCUAUAACCUUUACAGGCUUGCGUCCUUUAUUCCCUGUGAAAGCUGAGGGAGACUAUUGUCCCUCUGCUAUUGAAAGGAAUUGAAAGGGAAAAAAUAAUUUAAUGUGGGCCAUUUCUGGGAUUUAGGGCCAAAGGGCUGUGCAUUGUGUCACAGGGCAGUAGUCCUCCCUCAAAAGCUUACUAUUUAAAUGGGGUGGAGCUGCCAUCCAAGGCUGAAGUCCAGGCUACAAAAUCGUUGCCCAAAAUAAGGGCUCCCUAAAGUAGCUUCCCUUACUUGAUUCUCAUUUCAAGAAGCCUUCUUCGCAUUGCUCUAAUGGCAUUACUAAUUUUAUACAGUGAUGUUUUUUAAUCCCAGGCGUGUUUCACUGCCAUGUUAAAGAGAUUUCUAAAACUGAGCUGGAUACUUGCCUUGGCAGAACAACAGCAUACCAUACUGGCCAGUUAAAUCUGGGACAAAAUCUAGAGAGCACAAAAAUCCACACCUGCUUUUAGACAAAGAGGAGCCAGUGCUGCUUCCAGGGAGAAAAUCAUGGUCGUGGUCCAUUGCAUUGGAUCUCCAUGUAACUUCCUUAUUUCCUACAGCGAAGCUGUCUCUUUUUUAGGGAUCUUUAAUACCAUAUUUCACUCUCCUCCUUCUUAAGCUACCUACCACGGUUCAGUGAAACUGUAUGAUGUGUAGCAACACAGCUCAUUAAAGCUCUACAGCAUUUCUGGAAUCCAACUCCACUCCUCCACAGCUCCCCCCUCCACACACACCCCCCCAACAGCAGUGAUCCCAGCAGUCAGAAGGUUUAGAAAGACACAAUGUCCUUGCAUUGCAGAUGUCCUCUGGGUUUACUGUCCACUGAGUUCCUCUGCCCAAACAGGACUCUCCAAACAAUUCUGUGAUCUGGGAACACUCUGCAGUCUUCGGCUUGAAUCUUCUGCUCUUCUGCCAAGAUCAGACAGUCUUUGUCAGGCUUAUGACUCCAAGGGAGCAAGUGUGGAUAGAACCAGACCCACAUGCCCACACUUUUAUGACUAUUUAAUUUCCAAAAUUCUUCCUCAAAGAAAAUCCAGGUCAAAGAUGGACACAAAACCAGAAUCCCAGAUACCCCUUCUGAGCUGCUCUGGUCCUCCUUCAGUAUGUCUAAAAUCUGACAUGAAUUCAAAUAAUUCACAAACCAUACAAGUUGAAACAGUAAUGACAGGUUGGUUGCAUGUAGAGUUUCUCCCCUUAGACUGGUAAUCCACUUAAAAUAUUCACAUUUAUUUUAUCCAGCAAUAUUUAUUUAUUAAAGUUUUGGUGGUGAUCUCAUCCCAAGUGAAAUACGGGGGGAAAAUGAGAGUUCCUUUCAUCUUAAAUUUCUUUUAAAGUACUGACCAAAGUAUAAGGUAUCAAGUUAUUUUAAUUUAGUAAUAUUGUCUCCUCUUCCUUAAAACUUACAGACUAUUUUGUCUAUAGCUACAAAAGUGAAAAUUAACAACAAUCUCUCUAUAUUCUGUAAAUUACAGAAAGCCCCAAGUUUCACUUCUAUCUUGGUUUGCUGGAUACUAAAUAGUUGUUUCCCAAGCCUCCUCCUAGGCCAGACUGACUCUCUUUCAUGUACACCAUCGAGGUCUCUUCACACACUUAUUGCCCCAGUUUGAAACAGAGGUGUUUCUGUGUGAGAAAAACCUCUCCUGCUAUGUCCCCGUUCAAUUCUCCAUUCACCUUUGCUUUUGUGACAGCUCACAAUAGUCAGCUGUGACUCGGUGUAGAUCACUUUCUCAACUGCAAGCAGCUGCUGCACAGCCCUGUGGAGUUUCUUUGAGUUGUUUACACUCACAGAACUUUUCCUUAACCACUCAUCAUUUUAUCUACCUUCCUGUUGUUCCUGUUGAAGGGCUCAGCAGGAAAACAGAACACAUCUUUGUGGCCUCCUCUCCUUCCAUGAGGCAGAAAACUACAAAAUAAUAUGGGGAGUCCAGACUGGCAGAAAGGUAAGAUGUCCAGAGGGUUGAGAGUGACGUGCAUCAGAACGACAGAGAUAUCUCAUAGAACCCAGAUAAGAACUGCAGUUCUUCAGAAAGUCACUCUAUCUCCUCUGCUUUCCAUCUGGAAGCUUCAGGCUUUUCUUAAUAUGACUGGAAGCACCAACAGAGAAUUCUGUGAACACAUGCUCAUAAUAAUUAGGAAGUACUGACACUGUGAAACCUUUGGAAGAGGAUUUUAUCAAGCAGAUAAAAUCCAGAUCAAUAUUGGAAAGCUCUAAGCACAAAUAUUUUUACUUCCUUUUGUGGCAGGUUAGCCUUGGCUGACUGCCACACCCCCAUUCAGCCAGCCUUUCACUCUACCUCUUUAAUAGGACAGGGGAAGAAAAUAAGAUGAAAAUGCUCUUGGGUUAAAAUACAAACAGGGAGAUCACUUACCAAUUACCAUCAUAGGCAAAACAGACUAAACUUGGAGAAAACAAUUUCAUUUGUUUCUCAUUAAAAAUAGAGUAUGAUGGUGAGGAACAAUGACAAAACUAAAACACCUUCCCCUAUCCUACCUCUUCUUCUCAUGUUUAAGUUCUCUCCUUCGCUCUCAACUUCUUUCUUUAAAAACAGCACAGAGGGGUGGGGGUUAUGGUCAGUCCUUGAGGGAUCCUCUCUGCUGCUUCUUCCUAAUCACACUUUUCCCUCGCUUCACUAUGGAGUCCCUCCCCACAAGAUACAGUCCUCCUUGAACUGCUCCUGUGUAGGUUCCUCACAGGCUCUGGCUUCUGCCAGAAAACCUGUUCCUGCGUGGGCUCCUCUCCAUGGGCUGCAGCUCCUGCCAGGAUUCUGCUCUGACGUAAGCUCUUCAUAUGCUUGAAGGUUUUUCCAGGAUAUCUCCACCUGUUGCAGUGUGGGGUUCUCAAUGGGCUGCAGCGCGGACAUCUGCUCCACUGUGCUCCUCCACAGCUACUCUUCUCUGCUCUAGUGCUCUUCCUUCUUUUCUCAUCUUGGUGUUUCCAGGGCUGUUUCUUACGUAUUUUUCUGACUCUUCACCCUCUCAGCUGCUGUGCAGCAUUUUCUGCCCUUUCCUAACCAUGUUGCCAGAGAUGACAUUGGCUUGGCUGAGGGGAUCAGCUGUGAGGCUCUGCUCUGCAGUGAGUCUGGCACACAGAUGUGCAAACGCUAACUCACACACAAAUGUAAUUAAUUUUCAACUCAAAUUUCAUUAUUUGUAAUGCUUGGCAGCAUGGAUUGCAGGGUAAAGAGUUCCACAAGCCACCCUUGAAGAAGGAGGACAGAAUAUAUUUUUACAUCCCCGUCUGAAAGCACAAAAAGCCAACUAAAAGCACAAGAAAGGAAGGUACUACCAAGGGUGCUUUCCAAAUGAAACCAGACCAAGAAAACUCUCUGUUAGAAUUACCAUUAGCACUGAUUAGGAAAACACAAGAGUCAAACAUCCUUUCCAAGCAGCCCAGCCAAUGGACCCCCUCAUUUGUCAAAGCCAAUCUCACGAUGGUGAGUUCCUACCCACUUUUAGCCCCAGCAGAGAUGGGCAAGAAAGCAAGUAGAGAGUAGUGGAUUUGUCUGUGAUGGAUUUUCCCAGAAGGAACUCAUAUGUACUAUGUUUUGGAUUUCUGAUUAAAAAAGAGAUGAUGAUGAAAUAAGGGUGUUUCAGUUACUUUUGGGCUGUGCUUGCAGAGUGUUGUGAUGAUUACCCCCACCUCCAUGAGCUACUCUGUGCUCUCAGGAAUUCUCAUUAAGCCUAGGUCAUAACUAAUGGCUGCUGGACAAUUAAGCUCCCCUAGAGCUUAUCAGUAACACUGCCUAUUCUCAAGAACUUCUGCUGCCUAAUAAACUUCUGGUUUCUAUCAGAUAGCCUUGGAAAAUUAUUUCUGUGUGAAUCACAGCCAGAGUGAAACAAAAUUAUUGUUACUGGACUUCUGAUGAAAAUUAUUGACCUGGAUUGAGGCCAGGAUGGAAAUUGAUGUAUGACUAAAGCCAAGCAUCUUGCAACCCUCUGAACGGGGAUUCUAAGUGAGGCCCUUUGAACUCCUGUGGCCACAGUGGCUGUGCCAGCACCUCUCUUGGAGCAGGAUGUCUCUCUGAGUUCAUCAACUCACAGGUCUGAGAACUCUGAGACUGUGAUUGAAAAGUGACGAUGGGGCUGGGCUGGUACCACCCUCCCCAAGGCUCAACCCUUUGCCCACUGAGAAAUGCAAAGGCAUCCAAUGGUAUUUCACUGAACUCAACAGGUACCUUUGCAUACAUAUACACAUCUGUGUGUGUAUAUAUAUAUGCAUACAUCCAUGUCUGUGUCUGCGUAUGUAAAUUGAUUUCAAUACUCUCUAGCAAGUGUAGCAUCAGUGUUGCCAUCUUACAUUUGUAAUUAAGCCACUGUUUUCCUUGUAGUAAAUCCUAUUGAAUCAUUCUGUAAGCGUUAAAUUAGUCAGUGAUUAAGUGCUGCCAAAUCCUUUAGACAUAAAUCACUGAGCAAUUCCAAGGCUAAGUUUGGCAAUGGGGUUCACUCUGAACCUCAUGAACCAGUGGGUGGGUCUCCCUUAUGCCUUUGCACCCUUACCAUUCUCCAUCCUUACCCUUUUGCAUCCCUUGUCUUUGUGUACAUUGUUCUGGGUUGAUUCUAAUCAAAUUUUCCUUUGUGCCCUGUAUCUAUGUAGCAACAGAGGGAACCUUGGCACAGAACUUUGUUGUGCUUUCACAAAUUUGUAUUAAAAUUGCUUUUGCUAAUACCUUUGCUGAUACCUUUGA